rnacentral:rRNA from 1 species
UGGGCCUAGGGAGGCAGCAGUGGGGAAUAUUGGUCAAUGGCCGGAAGGCUGAACCAGCCAAGUCGCGUGAGGGAAUAAGGCCCUAUGGGUCGUAAACCUCUUUUGUCAGGGAGCAAAGGCGUCCACGUGUGGACGAGAGGAGAGUACCUGAAGAAAAAGCAUCGGCUAACUCCGUGCCAGCAGCCGCGGUAAUACGGAGGAUGCGAGCGUUAUCCGGAUUUAUUGGGUUUAAAGGGUGCGUAGGCGGAGUGUCAAGUCAGCGGUAAAAUUUCGGGGUUCAACCCCGUCGUGCCGUUGAAACUGAC